rnacentral:rRNA from 1 species
GUAACACGUAAAGAACCUGCCCUCAGGUCUGGGAUAACCACGAGAAAUCGGGGCUAAUACCGGAUGGGUCAUCGGACCGCAUGGUCCGAGGAUGAAAGGCGCUUCGGCGUCGCCUGGGGAUGGCUUUGCGGUGCAUUAGCUAGUUGGUGGGGUAAUGGCCCACCAAGGCGACGAUGCAUAGCCGACCUGAGAGGGUGAUCGGCCACACUGGGACUGAGACACGGCCCAGACUCCUACGGGAGGCAGCAGUAGGGAACCUUCCACAAUGGACGAAAGUCUGAUGGAGCAACGCCGCGUGAACGAUGAAGGCCUUCGGGUCGUAAAGUUCUGUUGUAAGGGAAGAACAAGUGCCGCAGGCAAUGGCGGCACCUUGACGGUACCCUGCGAGAAAGCCACGGCUAACUACGUGCCAGCAGCCGCGGUAAUACGUAGGUGGCAAGCGUUGUCCGGAAUUAUUGGGCGUAAAGCGCGCGCAGGCGGCCUCUUAAGUCUGAUGUGAAAGCCCCCGGCUCAACCGGGGAGGGCCAUUGGAAACUGGGAGGCUUGAGUAUAGGAGAGAAGAGUGGAAUUCCACGUGUAGCGGUGAAAUGCGUAGAGAUGUGGAGGAACACCAGUGGCGAAGGCGACUCUUUGGCCUAUAACUGACGCUGAGGCG